CGGCAACAGCUCAAAUUUGAAAUCUGGUCCCCAGGGCCCGAGUUGUAAUUUGUAGAGGAUGCUUUUGGCAAGGUGCCUUCCGAGUUCCCUGGAACGGGACGCCAUAGAGGGUGAGAAUCCCGUAUGUGACUGGAUACCUAUGCUCAUGUGAAGCUCUUUCGAC
rnacentral:rRNA from 1 species